AUUGAACGCUGGCGGCAGGCCUAACACAUGCAAGUCGAGCGAGCGGCGGACGGGUGAGUAAUGUCUGGGAAACUGCCGGAUGGAGGGGGAGAACUAGUGGAAACGGUAGAUAAUACCGCACACCAUCAGAUGUGCCCAGAUGGGAAUAGCUAGUAGGUGGGGUAACGGCUCACCGAGGCGACGAUCCCUAGCUGGUCUGAGAGGAUGACCAGCCACACUGGAACUGAGACCCGGUCCCGACUCCUACGUGAGUCAGCAGUGGUGAAUCUUGCACAAUGGGCGCAAGCCUGAUGCAGCCAUGCCGCGUGUGUGAAGCAGGCCUUCGGGUUGUAAAGCACUUUCAGCGGGGAUGUGUUACCCGCAGAAGAAGCACCGGCUCACUCCGUGCCAGCAGCCGCGGUAAUAC
rnacentral:rRNA from 1 species